GUUUAUUAUACACAAAUCUAAGCAAUAGCGAAUAUUCCAGCAGCGACCGGUCAUUAAACGCAUCACGCGCACGCUCACGUUUUCAGUAAGUCACCUGCUCCCCUCCCUCCAUACACACCCGGGAGUGAGGCGAGACAGGACGGCUGCACAGGAGCCCUUACCGCAACUAUCUGACGUCGAAAAGACCGAAUUAUAUGAUAGCUCAGAGGAAUUGGCCAGGUGAUUUCGGAUGAGAAAAACCAUCCCGAUGGCGAGCUGAACCCAGGAACGUUGCCUACAACUAAAGACACUUCCAACAGUUUCUACGGUCGGGUAGGGGCUGUUGUAGCCAGUCCGCUCCCGCAUUAUCCCUACGCAACCCGCGUUUGGACAAUUACACUUACACACACCUUAAAAGACUAUACGCACACUUCUACACGAAGUGCGGACAUUAAAUUUCACCCUUUGGUUUUGACAAUGA